AAUGAACGUUGGCGGCGUGGAUUAGGCAUGCAAGUCGAGCGAGAAACCCCGCAAGGGGUGGAAAGCGGCGAAAGGGACAGUAACACGUGGAUUAUCUACCCCUCGAUCUGGGAUAGCUGCGGGAAACUGCAGGUAAUACCAGAUGAUGUCUUCGGACCAAAGGUGUGAUUCCGUCGAGGGAUGAGUCCGCGUCCUAUUAGCUAGUUGGUAGGGUAACGGCCUACCAAGGCCAUGAUGGGUAGCGGGUGUGAGAGCAUGACCCGCGUCACUGGGACUGAGAUACUGCCCAGACACCUACGGGUGGCUGCAGUCGAGGAUCUUCGGCAAUGGGCGCAAGCCUGACCGAGCGACGCCGCGUGUGGGAUGAAGGCCUUCGGGUUGUAAACCACUGUCGGAGGGGAUGAAAUGCCCUGGGGUUCUCCCCAGGGCUUGACAUAGCCUCAAAGGAAGUACGGGCUAAGUUCGUG
rnacentral:rRNA from 1 species